CUUGCUAAGAGGAACUUGUCUUCUCGUUCACUGCUGAGUCUUCAGUUCCCAGAACAGAUCUUGGCACAUGCACAUUCAACUUCUGCUGACUGGGUGAUUGAGAUGUUGCAAAUGCCAUCGUCAAGGGUGCCCCUGUUGCCUGAAUUCUAACUACCUUGGUGAAGUCUCACUGCUUAGUUUAUAAUGAGUAUUUCAGUAUGGAGAUCUUCUACGUCCAGAUUUAAUCACUUUUCUGUAUUUGUCCGUUCUGCUUCUGCUGGUGUUUUGCAGUAAGCCAGAAGUAAGUGAGAUAUUGUGGACUGCAGGAAGAGGUUGAACAGGUGCUUGAGACACGACAGCAAAAGUGCUCCUCAAAGUCUCUACUUCAAGAACCUCACAUUCAAGCCAGAGAGACUGACAGUAACAAACAAAUAUGUGAAGUAUGGGGCUUCUCAGAUGGUUGGAACAGAAGAAAUGCUGUAUUCCUCUGAGGACAUAACUUCUGGAGGUACAUGUUGGAUGCCCAUCUGUUUCUCAAUGG